rnacentral:tRNA from 3 species
GGAGAGCUGUCCGAGUGGCUGAAGGAGCACGCCUGGAAAGUGUGUAUACGUUAAUAGCGUAUCGAGGGUUCGAAUCCCUCGCUCUCCG